rnacentral:rRNA from 1 species
CAGCAGCCGCGGUAAUACAGAGAAUGCAAGUGUUAUCUGAAAUGAUUGGGCGUAAAGCGUCUGUAGGUGGCUUUUCAAGUCCAUCAUCAAAUCCCAGGGCUCAACCCUGGACAGGCGGUGGAAACUACCAAGCUGGAGUAUGGUAGGGGCAGAGGGAAUUUCUGGUGGAGCGGUGAAAUGCGUUGAGAUCGGAAAGAACACCAACGGCGAAGGCACUCUGCUGGGCCGACACUGACACUGAGAGACGAAAGCUAGGGGAGCAAAUGGGAUUAGAUACCCCAGUAGUCCCUGUCUCUUAUAC